UACGUAGGGGGCAAGCGUUAUCCGGAUUUACUGGGUGUAAAGGGAGCGUAGACGGCAGCGCAAGUCUGGAGUGAAAUCCCAUGGCUUAACCAUGGAACUGCUUUGGAAACUGUGCAGCUGGAGUGCAGGAGAGGUAAGCGGAAUUCCUAGUGUAGCGGUGAAAUGCGUAGAUAUCAGGAGGAAUACCGUUAGCGAAGGCGGCAAUCUGGCUGGAAACUGACGCUGAGGUGCGAAAGCGUGGGUAGCAAACAGG
rnacentral:rRNA from 1 species